UACGUAGGGUGCAAGCGUUGUCCGGAAUUACUGGGCGUAAAGGGCGCGUAGGCGGUCAGCACAAGUCAGUUGUGAAAUCUCCGGGCUUAACUCGGAAAGGUCAACUGAUACUGUGCGACUAGAGUGCAGAAGGGGCAACUGGAAUUCUCGGUGUAGCGGUGAAAUGCGUAGAUAUCGAGAGGAACACCUGCGGCGAAGGCGGGUUGCUGGGCUGACACUGACGCUGAUGCGCGAAAGCCAGGGGAGCGAACGGG
rnacentral:rRNA from 1 species